GAAUGGUGGAGCUGCAGAGGAGAGUGAGCAGAGAGGGGGGAUCCGGUGUGCUUGUUCAGGAUGACUUUUAUUGUGAAGUGCAAAGUUAUGUCAGUGUCAGGGCAAAGUGGGGGAAAAGCGCGCAACGCGCAAAUGCACGCUGAUUUUUUUUUUUUUUUUAAAAACAACAAAAAAAUAAAAAAGACGUGCAAAGUUUGCGCCUCACCGCAACUGAUGUUGGUGGCCAGUAGACUUUCUGAUGAAGAGGAGGAUGAAGAGUGACAAACUGGAUCACCCUCUGAGGAGACGCAACACAACGCUAUGACAGUGACACAACAAAGCUCUGCCAAGCUCCGACCACAGAUUACUAGGAGCUAUUGAUCAUUUAGAGGUCACGUGUUUGUAAUGAGGCAGAGCAGAAACCAACAUAAAGUACAUCAGUUGAUGCUGGUUCAUCACGUUCUGAAGAGGCUGGUGAGUGACGAUCGCUGGCGGCGACAGAAGCAGUGCCGCCAUGUUGUUGUGGUUUUCAGAAACUCUUGUUUGGCUCAGAGUUGUACCAUAGAGUCACCUCAAAGAUCAAUGUGCUGAAAUGUUCACAGGAAGAACAAAUCGACAGGGUUUACAGUGGCACGAAGGCCCAGCUGAAGAAAUUUAUGCCUAAAAUAGAUUUUGUGGAUUUUUGUUUUUAGGAAAAAUCUCAGCACUGUGAAAGCUCGGGUGGAUCAGGUUGUUCCUCUUAAAGCUCCACAACAAGUGGAUCUAUAGUGCACGAUCUAAGACACAUAGUGCAUGUGGGACGUGUCUGGUACCAUUUUGCUAUUUACGCGGUGGACAAUCUGAGCACAAAGAAAAGUGCAGGGAACAAUAUUUUUUAAAUCAACUUUAAAGGUCAAAAAUGUUUUUAAUCCCUAAGGCUGGAGCUUAGAGAUAGUUUGCACUAAUACCUCAAAGGUUUUAUUCAUACAUUUCCAAUUUCAGAAAACAUUAUACAUCACUAUCCAGUUAUUUUUGUAUGUAUAAGAAGCCGUCCUCUGCUCUUACUGAAGUCCUUUCUUGCUUUAGCGGUUAGCUGGUUAGCUGCACGCCCUGCUGUGCUAGUGUAGCGGCUUAUACUACAUUGUGUUAUGAUUUUGACUCCUCCCACUCACUUCCCUCAGGAUGCAAACUCACGAUCUCUGGCAUGGGAGGUGGACUGUCUAACCAGAAGGCCAAAAGCCAGGGUCUUGUGGCCAGAGAAUUCUUGUAGCUGCUGGGGUGUGAGGUGUACUGACUAUUGCUUAGGGCCCCUUCACACAUAGUGCGAAUUUGGUCAAUUUGCGCAUAAAGUGCGCAUGAAGUAGGAAUCGCGUGUAAAACGUGUAAAAUCGCAGCUGCCUCG